GAUGAACGCUGGCGGCGUGCCUAAUACAUGCAAGUCGAACGCUUCACUUCGGUGAAGAGUGGCGAACGGGUGAGUAAUACAUAAGUAACCUGGCAUCUACAGGGGGAUAACUGAUGGAAACGUCAGCUAAGACCGCAUAGGUGUAGAGAUCGCAUGAACUCUAUAUGAAAAGUGCUACGGGACUGGUAGAUGAUGGACUUAUGGCGCAUUAGCUGGUUGGUAGGGUAACGGCCUACCAAGGCGACGAUGCGUAGCCGACCUGAGAGGGUGACCGGCCACACUGGGACUGAGACACGGCCCAGACUCCUGCGGGAGGCAGCAGUAGGGAAUUUUCGGCAAUGGGGGAAACCCUGACCGAGCAACGCCGCGUGAAGGAAGAAGUAAUUCGUUAUGUAAACUUCUGUCAUAGAGGAAGAACGGUGGAUAUAGGGAAUGAUAUCCAAGUGACGGUACUCUAUAAGAAAGCCACGGCUAACUACGUGCCAGCCGCCGCGGUAA
rnacentral:rRNA from 1 species